UUUUGUUAUUUCUGAUAUUGCAUGUCUUAUGUCCUUGAGUUUUGGAGUGAAGUGGCACUCACAUUGCUUCACUGUAAUGUUGAUAUGAAUAGUUGGUUCAUAGUCUUGAUAUGUAGUCUGGUCAGUGUCAAACUGUUGGUUCUUUAUCCUUUAAUCAUGUUAGAGGCAUGUCUGCACGAGAAUUCAGGGUAUUAUAUAUCCAGCAUAGUGUCUUGGAGCCUAGGCGCAAGGCGCGGGUGUGCACCCGAGUGAGGCAAGGCGCAAAAAUAAAUAGAAAAUAAUUAAAAUUAAAAAUAUUCUCACACAUUUCAAGUAACAUAAUGCUAAACAUUAAGAGAGAGAGAGAGAGAGAGAGAGAGAGAGAGAGACAAGGAAAUUAAUAAUUUAUAAUAGCAAUUAGCAAGUAGCAAUAUACAAACCAAUUUAUAAUACCAUAAUCCCAAUUAUAAUAACAAAAACUAAUAAUUUAUGAUAACAUAAACUCAAUUAUUAUAUUUCUAAAUUCUAAUAAUUUAUAAUAAGUUCCACUAGCAAAACCUAAUAGGAAUUGCCAUCACACAAGAAGAUAAAUCCAAUUUAAUUCAAUCAUAAACCUAAAAGUUAAUAACAAAUUUAACCCAUAAAGCUAAUAAAAAAUUUAGUGUAAUAUCAUGUUAACAUACUUUCACAAUAAAGAAUAAACAAAAUAAAAAAUUUAGAGAAAAAAAAAAAGAGAAAA